rnacentral:lncRNA from 10 species
AAAGAAUUUUACAUGGACCUUAGAGAGGAAAGGAGGAAAGGAAUCUGGUGUGUGUAUGUGUAUGUGUGUGUGUGUGUGUGUUCGUGUACAUGCACAGGUACACGUGUUUUAGCCCUAGACACGUGGCCUAUCAGAAGGACAUGAGACAAGGUCAGGAAUGAACUCCCCUUUGAAUCACCCUUAAGCAGGCAGACGAAUUAGGACUGAUUUAUGAAUGUAUUUCCACAAUUUACUUGAAAAUUUGUAAUGUCUGUGCAGCCUGGCAAGAAAAAAAAAAGGCGAGGCACUGUGAAGGAAUGCUUCUGCUCCACUUCAUUGUAAAAUUAUCCCAUGCUACCUGCUCUAAUCCCCUGAAAACAAAUUAAAUCCUCACUAAGCUGACUUUAAAUCAAUAGUUUCAUUUAAGAAUAGUGUGACUUAAUAAAAAUAAAAAACUAACUGGUCCAGCCAAUUUAAGAGGGAAAUAAAUCAUUGCCCAAAGAAAAAUAGCAGAUUUGACUUGUAUAUGGGCCCUGGCUCUGUUUAGAAGGGAGAGGUGGUGUCUAAAUUAACUCUGGCUGGGGAAGAAGCUCAUAGACCCAUUCAGAAACUCACUUUACCAUGCACAUCCCAGGAAUAAGGAGGCCAGCCACCCCCAAAAUGGGAAACAGCAUCUCAGUCUAUAUUUUGAAAAAUGUAACCACUAAAAAAUAGAAGAUGGCAUCCUCGGAAGCAUCCUGGCAACCCUGAGACUGCAGCGCUCACAUGUGAAGACCAAGAAACCCAUGUCUGGUCAUGGCAGAAGCCACAAGGUUCCUCUUGAAGAUGCACUGGUUAAGGCAACAGUGUCCUCAACAAGCCGGGACAAAGGCAAAAUUAGGUGUGCUGGAUAAACAUCAGUAAUUAUAAUAGGUGCACAAUCUAUGUGCAAUUAUUCUUUGGAAUAAAUCUAAGUGUGGGGUAGACAUAUUUUUGGCAGUAUACAAAGGCCUGACUACCAUUUUAUGAAUAAAGAAAGUCAUCUAGAACAAAAGAGUAAGACUCGACACAAUAGGGCAAGUAGUUACAGAGAAAAGUCUGAAAUCCCAUAAUUCUAAACUAGCACUUUAUCCCAUUUAGCAGAGUACUUCUUUACUAAUCAUAUAAAUUAGAAAAAUGCUUAGGACCCGACGCUUGCUUACUUAAUUCAUUAUGUAUUGGGGAUAUAUAAACAUUAAAGUGAGUGCCUUCAAAACACGACACAUCAAUAUUAUCAGUGUCACUAUUGCCACUAACAUAUUUUAAACAUUUAAUAAUUAUACAACGUCAAGUCAGUUACUUACUGACGUUCAUUGCAAUCGAGCACUUUUAUUUAUCAUUUUGACAAUAACAAAUAAUAAAACAUAUUCCUUCUAGUAAAAGAUUUAAGCCUAAAGAAGCCAGGCAAGACCAUUUAGUUCCUUACCAUAGUCCCUCUCUCAGAGACUACAUUAAUUUUCAUUUGUUGGCCAGAAAAAUACCUGGCCAAAUACCUAGAGAAAUCAGUGUAUGAAGAUGGCACAGUUUGGUGGAAACACUCUGGCUUAGACUCAGGCUCUGGAGGCUCAAGUCAUGCCCCCACAUUUAGAAUCCUGUAUUGUUUACCUAGUUAUUUGACAUUCUGGCCUUAGUUUUGUCAUCUGUAAGAUGGAGGCAAUAAUACCUGCACAGUUUAUGGAGUUAUUAGGUGGCCCCAAGCAGGCGAUGGAGGGUACUUUGCAAGGUGAUACACAAAAGUGAGAAAUGACCGGGCCUCCCGUCUGUCCAAGGACAAGCAUGGUAAUUAAUUCUAACUUAGAAAACACUGGCUUCCUAUACAUUCUCCCAAUGUAACCAUUCCAUGGAUGAUGGCUCCAGGCUUCCGGCAGGGUCUGCUGUGUGCACGGAGCACCCGUCAGCCUGGAGCAGACCUGAGACGCUGGCACAAGAACUGUCAUCUGGAGAAGCGUCACCUCCUGUCCGGCUGAGGUUCCACGGGGCUUCUGCCAGAGACCUGAAUAAAUGUUAUAGAACAGCCCAAUCUCACUGUCCUCCUUUGUCUUCCAGAAGCCCUUGCCCUGUCCUGAGCUUACUGACAUGGCCAAAAGACUGAAAAUGCUAACAAGACAGGGAGCCCCCCAUCUGCAAAUCCUGUUCUUACCCAUCAAGCUAAGCCAGCACCUGUACUUGUUCCAGGUUGAGCCCAACAGCAGCCUCAUAUCCUAAGGCACAGCUCGCUGAGUUCUGAGCCCUCCCAAGGGAAGGUCUUAACCCUAGCUCAUCCAUUUCCAAAGCUGAGGCCAUG